rnacentral:rRNA from 1 species
AUUGAACGCUGGCGGCAGGCCUAACACAUGCAAGUCGAACGGUAACAGGAAGAAGCUUGCUUCUUUGCUGACGAGUGGCGGACGGGUGAGUAAUGUCUGGGAAACUGCCUGAUGGAGGGGGAUAACUACUGGAAACGGUAGCUAAUACCGCAUAACGUCGCAAGCCCAAAGAGGGGGACCUUCGGGCCUCUUGCCAUCGGAUGUGCCCAGAUGGGAUUAGCUAGUAGGUGGGGUAACGGCUCACCUAGGCGACGAUCCCUAGCUGGUCUGAGAGGAUGACCAGCCACACUGGAACUGAGACACGGUCCAGGCGCCUGCGGGAGGCAGCAGUGGGGAAUAUGGCACAGUGGUCGCAAGCCUGAUGCAGCCAUGCCGCGUGUAUGAAGAAGGCCUUCGGGUUGUAAAGUACUUUCAGCGGUGGGGAAGGGAGUAAAGUUAAUACCUAGACUCAUUGACGUUACCCGCAGAAGAAGCACCGGCUAACUCCGUG